UAGGGAAUAUUGCUUAAUGGGCGAAAGCCUGAAGCAGCAACGCCGCGUGUGCGAUGAAGGUCUUCGGAUUGUAAAGCACUUUUUGAGGGGAUGAGGAAGGACAGUACCCUCAGAAUAAGCCUCGGCUAACUACGUGCCAGCAGCCGCGGUAAAACGUAGGAGGCAAGCGUUAUCCGGAUUUACUGGGCGUAAAGCGCGUGUAGGCGGCGCGGUAAGUUGGAUGUGAAAGCUCCCGGCUUAACUGGGAGAGGUCGUUCAAUACUGUCGUGCUAGAGGAUGGGAGAGGGAGGUGGAAUUCCGGGUGUAGUGGUGAAAUGCGUAGAUAUCCGGAGGAACACCAGUGGCGAAGGCGACCUCCUGGCCCAUUUCUGACGCUCAGACGCGAAAGCUAGGGGAGCGAACG
rnacentral:rRNA from 1 species